ensembl:lncRNA
AAGUUCAGUCAGACGCGACGUAUAACGCGUGCUAUAAAGCUAACGAUAAAGCUAAACUGAAGAAACAUAAGAAGAAAGGUCGGUGAUCCUACAAAAUGGCGAACAGAGCGGUAGGAGUCAUGGCACACUCUUUGUUUGAUGGAUCUGAAGAUAAAUAUGAUCUUUGGGAAACGAGAUUCUUAAGCUAUCUACACACUCUAAAGCUAAAAGAGACUAUUUUGCAUGAGCCCACCGGUGCUAAUGAAGAACAGCUAGCUGAAGACAGACGGAAGAACGCUGAUUGCUAUGCUGAACUUGUAAGACUGAUAGAUGACAAAAGCCUAUCACUGAUAAGACAUGAAUCUGCUGACGAUGGCAGGAAAGCCCUAAGAAUACUGAAAGAACAUUAUUCAGGGAAAAGCAAGCCACGGAUAAUAAAUAUGUACACAUCGUUAACUCAACUACGCAUGUCAGACAAUGAGAGUGUUACAGACUACUUGAUAAGAGCAGAGAACAUCAUCACAGCACUGAGAGAUGCAGGAGAAACCAUGAGUGAUGGAUUAACCAUAGCGAUGGUUCUUCGUGGAUUACCUGAUAUUUUCAAGCCGCUAGCCGUCCACAUAACACAGAAUGAGGACGACGUUACAUUCACAGAUUUUAAGAGAAGACUGCGGAUUUACGAAGAGGCGGAGAAAAUGAAAGGAACAGAAUCCACAGAUAAUGUGAUGAAGACACAGACGAGACAAGGAAAGGGUCCUGCCAGGUACCACACUAAAGAAAGAAAAGAUGAAGACACAAAUAUGACAUGUUACAAAUGUGGAAUAAAGGGACACAGAGCGAGAAAAUGUUACAAGAGAGUGUGGUGCAAUCAUUGUAAAAAUAGUACACACGCUGAGUUUCUGUGUAAGAAAAAGGGUGACCAAGAUGGCGUCAGAAAGGUUACAGAUGAACACAAUAAUGACCCAGACCAUGACCAUCUCUUCAAAGCUGAACACUCAGAAUAUGAAAAACCAGCAAACAAAGUAAAGAUGAAAGGGAUCAUGGUAGACGCAGGAGCUACGUCUCAUAUUGUGAGUGACAUCAGAAAGUUCAGAAGUUUUGAUAGCUCUUUUCAACCAGAGACUCAUUCAGUGGAAUUAGCAGACGGAACGAAGUGCAGCGGAAUGGCGCAACAAAGAGGAACGGCAGUGAUUUAUCUCCUAGAUGACGCUGGAAAACAGCACACUGCACAGCUACGGGACGCGCUAUACAUGCCUUCGUACCCACAUGACAUUUUCUCGGUAGCAAGAGCGACAAAUGGAGGAGCAACAAUCAUUUUCAAAAGAGGAGACAAUCACUUGAUAACCAAAAACGAAAGCAGGUUUGAUAUUCAUGAAAGUGGAAACUUGUACUAUUUACCAACACUAGAAGAGGAUGUUGACCAGUGCAAAGUGUGUCAUGAUUUACAAACCUGGCAUGAAAUUCUGGGACAUUGUAACUACGAAGAUUUAAAGAAGCUACAAGAUGUAGUAAGAGGCAUGGAGAUAAAAGGAAAUAAAGUGAAAGAGAAACAGCUAUGUGAAGUGUGUACACAAGGAAAAUUCACGCAGACCAGAAACAGGGAGCCAGACAGAAAGGCAAAGAAACCCCUAGAACUAAUUCACACGGAUCUGGCCGGCCCCAUGCCAACA